UGGGGAAUAUUGCACAAUGGGGGGAAACCCGUGAUGCAGCGACGCCGCGUGAGUGAAGAAGUAUUUCGGUAUGUAAAGCUCUAUCAGCAGGGAAGAAAAUGACGGUACCUGACUAAGAAGCCCCGGCUAACUACGUGCCAGCAGCCGCGGUAAUACGUAGGGGGCAAGCGUUAUCCGGAAUUACUGGGUGUAAAGGGUGCGUAGGUGGUGCGGCAAGUCAGAAGUGAAAGCCCGGGGCUCAACUCCGGGACUGCUUUUGAAACUGUCGGACUGGAGUGCAGGAGAGGUAAGCGGAAUUCCUAGUGUAGCGGUGAAAUGCGUAGAUAUUAGGAGGAACACCAGUGGCGAAGGCGGCUUACUGGACUGUCACUGACACUGAGGCACGAAAGCGUGGG
rnacentral:rRNA from 1 species